CGUGCACUGGUGGGGUCCCUCAGCCUAGCCUGUGCCCUCUCACAAUCCGGGACCCUCGGGGGAUGUGAGCGAGCCAAUUUUGGCCCAAUCCCGCAGGCCAGGCUGAGGGACCCCACUGGUGCACG
rnacentral:pre_miRNA from 1 species